rnacentral:lncRNA from 1 species
CUAAUGAGCGCUCCCACGCGGCCGGAGUACGUCCUCGACUUCCCGCCCGAUACUACGUCGCCAUCCCCGUCAGUACCGAUGACAAUCCUCCCUGAGGUACCGACGAUCUUCUCGAGAGCCUUCCCUGUGACGGGGCCUCUCUUCUUUUUUGCCGGCUUCGCUCCGACGGUGCCUAUCACAUGAUAACCAAAUUGAUUAUUAAAAUCGGAGAAUUAUAAGAAAACACAUCAUUCAUCUUUCAUUACCUGAGGGCGAGGAGGCGGACGCGACGGAUUCCGCCUCCGAUGAUGAUACCCUCGCCGAAAUAAGAGGCGUAUCAAAAGGCACGAACCGGUACGCCGCUGAUGGAGCCACUGGCGGGGGCAGUGGAUAAAAUCGGCGUCCCUGAGUCAUCGACUACAGGUAUGGCCGGUAUCAUCCGCGGAAGGAAUAGGUGAGGCGGCGGCAUUUGUACCCCAGAUGACCCACUA